rnacentral:lncRNA from 1 species
AUUGCUUUCUCCUGUUCACAAAAUAAUGCAUGCACCUGGCAAAUGGCAUACUAGCAGUAUUGAAGACAUGGGUCUCACAGUUUGAUCCGAAAGGAUUGCUUUUACAUUAGUAGAAUGGCUGUUAGCAUCUAUAAUCUACUCAACAUUGAUUCCGUCUAGUUUGAAUUAUCCAAUGUUUGGCACUGGCAAGUUCAAAAUUAACCUUUAUUGUCUAUAGAAACUUACAGGCACGUGUUUGAAUUGUUGACUGUGGUAGACUGGAGGGAGUAGAGAAUUUAACUGGUGUCAAAUUAAUGUAUUUUGGUUGGAAUUGCCCAGAACAUCAAGACCAAACAUAAAAGCUACUGAUCACUGUGAAUUUAAUGUAUUCGUUUCAUUCAUUGUGGACUGCACGUUCAUACAGUUUGUUUAUAAGCUUUAUUUAACAAACCUUUUGUUUGUUGUUCAAAUAGUCUUUCCAGUAGCUACAUUUUGGAAGUACUUUUGCUUAUCUAUACCUGCCUAUACAGUAAACUGAUAGCCUGUUCCCUGUUGAUUUGGUGUAUCAGGGUUUUACCCUCUACAGUGCAUACCACAUGUAUAGAUAUUUAUUGAACUGGAAACUGAUUUGGUAUAAGAAGUUAUCAUUAUAUCUGAACUGACCCUAAAACUGCAACAAUAUUUGUGUACAAAAAGCUGCGCUUUUUUAAUUUGGCAGGGUGCUGCUUCAGAAGGGUGCACCUUUUAAGGCAGCUUGGUACUUUGACUAACUGCGUUUCCACUUUAGAGUGGAAGUGACCAUCUUGUGAAAUUUAACCUGUGAGAAAUGAGCAUGUUUUAAUGAAUUUUCAAGCACUGAACUUCUACACAAUGCACAGAAUGUGAACAUUUGUUGGAGAAACUGAUGCGUGUUGGUUGUGACAUGUAAUUGAAUAGUUCAGGAGACACAUUGCCUUUUAUUUGAAAUCACAUGGGGUGCUGGAGAUGUAUCAGCAUGUUGGCUACCAUGUUGCUGUGCCUAGGAGCUCGGUCAAAAAUGGUACACAAUGUGGUCACUCAGUGCAGCGUGUGUGUUGAUAUCUCGCUUCUCGCCAUUAAAACACACUGUAUGAGGAUGAGACACCCUGUAGCUCACUUUUGCUGUUGUUCUUUGGCAUUUGCUUCAUCGGCUGCUUAACUUGUUGUUCUCGGCCCCCAAUUUUCGUAACUGGCACUGCAUUUUCAUGGCCAUUAAAGGAAUGCAGCUCAUUUAGCCACUAGCUUAAAUGUCAACCCAGUGCUCUGGUGGGCGGCAAGUAUUUCAAAAUGUUGCAGGAUAGGACAAGCAAUCUUGGAGCGAUAUUGUAGGUUCUCUGCAGCUACAUUUAAAUACAGCAAUAUUUGAUUCAAGGACGUCAUGGCGUACUGACAGGUAUGGUUUUAUUUACCUUUUUGAAAAGAGGCAGGGGGGCGAUGUUAAAAAAAAAACCUUUAAUUUAUUAAAUGCACCAAUUUGUUAAGUUAUUGCCUGCAAAUUAUUUUGGUUCCUUGCUGGUGCGUGAACAUUAUUUCCUGGUCUACUUUCGAGUGGAUAUUGCAAAACCUUGCUGUAAAGAAACUGUUGUUGACUCUCUGCUUGUCCCUGGAAAAAGUGCAGUUUUUCGGUAGUUUGAGAUGUUUGCUUUAGAGGUUGCUGGCCAUAACAAAAUAAUGUGAUAUAUUCGAUCUAGCUUUCUAGCCUGCCUGUCGAGCAAGACAUGCUCAACAAAUUGCACAUGAAGUUUCUGAAAAUAUUCAUUCAAAAUUAGAAAUAAACACUGAAAAUAGCACAAACAGCAAGAAACAACAAUUGCAACUGUACUGAAAUCUACUGUGAUUUAUGGGAUUCAAGGAAUGUAAAAUAUACCAUGCCUGCAGCUUAAGAGUUUUGAAAGUAGAGCACACUAAAUAGAUUACUGUCUGUAUUGUUGGAAUCCUGUUCCAUGUGCAUUUCAGAAGAACAGACCUCCAUACAAGUGAAAUGUGGGCAUAUUUUGUAUAUCAUGCAAAGAAUAUUAAUUUUCUGCUUUUGUGUUGCAUUGCUUCAGCUUUGUGGUUCCUUUUUUCUCCUUCAUUUCAAUGCAUGCUUGGGCUUUUGACACAGGUUAUUAUAGUUGAAAAGGUUUGUGGCUUUCUUUGAAAUUGAAGGUCCGUUUGAUGAGCUGUGAACAGAAAGCAAGCCAGUUUCACCGAGCAGUAUAACCUAGCUCAGGAACUUCAAGCGCUGUGUUUUGCAUGUGUAAUGAACAGUAAAAGUUCCAGGCGCAAUGUUGAUGCCAUAGAAAAAGAAGAAGGAAAAAAGAAAAAAGGCACUAGUACUGUCAUACCAAAAGUUAAUGUGAAGCAAAGAUGCGGCUGCUGUAUUGGCUAAACCUUUGUUCUGCAGCACAUAUAGCAUAGUAUCUUGCCUGUGUCUUUUUCAGACCCUAAAUGUUAAGAACAAAUAACUGCCUCCAUAGAUAUCUUGCUUGGCGUACAUGUGUCUGAUAAAAGCUAAAGAAAUGCUUCUGGAUGGAGUAUCUGCACAAGUUUGACAGCUCUAUUGGGAAAUGUUGUUGCCAUAGUUGGUUGUAUGAUGUUCUCACACCCUUACUCUGCCUUAAGAGCAGCUGUCAUUGAAACAUCCUGCAGUCAAAGCAGCUGUCUUAUGUUUUAAAAAGCAUGACACUCUUUCUUGUAGGUGUAUUUUGAUGAGUUCUUCUUACUGUGAAGGUUUUAUGGGCUCUCCUGUGCAGUGGAACAUGACAUAGGAUCGAGACAAAAACUGAAGAAAGUUUUCAUAUUGUGUACAAGAAUGUGCUGCUUGUCCAAGAAACUGAAUUCUGGAAAGCCUCUUUAUCACCCACAGUUCAUUUUACAUGUUGUAAUUUGAAGGAGUAUUCAUAUCCAUUUGGAGACUUCUUUGUCUUUAUUGGGCAAUGUUCUUUCAUCAGUGUUAUACUAAAGUGUAUAGAGUUGAGCAGACAUUGAUUUGAUUUGAUAUGUAGGGUUUUCUGGUACAAGGGCCAGGGUUAGACAAACAUGCUGGAGCAGGUGGUACACUGUUGAUACCAUUUUUAUUAGGUGGUUGCAUCCAUUUUUGUGGUAGCCUUUGUGACUCCUUUUGCGACCACCAUUUUACCACUUGUUGUCUGUCUGAGGUUGCUUAGGACUGUAACAGUUUGCCUCAUGCUGUUUUCUUGAAAUAGCAGCAGUGAUGUGCCGUGUGUUUGCAUCAUUGGCUGCAAACUUGGUAGUGUGUUCAUUUUGUUUGGUGUUAACCUGGUGCAAUGUUUGUGUAUGUAAAAUUUUUAAAAGGUAAGAAAAAGCUUAGGUAUUGAAACUAGUCUGUACUCCACCUAGUCUCGAAUUCAUCUCUGAGUGCUGAUAUUACCACAGUGUUUUUAAGUGUAAAUUGACAUUGUGCAUGAACAUGCCCAUGAGAUGGACAUUGUCUGGUGUUUACUGCUCUGGGAACCAGAAGCCAGAGCUUCGCUGUGACUUGAGGCAUGUAAUAUUGCUUUCAUAAUAUGAAUGCACUGUGGCUGCCCUGACAUAUUGGUGCAUCCUUUCUUAACACAAAGUGCACUGAAAAUUUUCUGCCCUCUCCCCAUGCCAACAGUGGCUCUUACAAACAGGGUAUUUAUUGUAAAAGAUGGAUUCAGUUUUUUGAGAAAUAAUUAAACCGGUAAAAAGAUUGGGAAUUUGAUUUGAUUUUAGAGGGCUAGUUGUAAUU